UCAAUUGGAAUGAAGCAAAUAUCAAGGAUACCCAUUGAAUUAUCUUCCAAACGUUAACAAUUGA
rnacentral:sRNA from 1 species